rnacentral:lncRNA from 1 species
GUGUUGUUCUUGUAUUCAUCUACUUAAUCUAGUUUUUGAUAGUUCUUCUUGAACUUCUUGGUAGAUAUCAAGUCUAUAUUCUGUGUCCAUGACAGUUACUUGGGAUUAUUUAGAGUUUGGUUAGGGUAUGUUUAGGAUUGAUUAGAAUUUGGUCAAGGUUUAUUUAGGUUUAUUUAGGAUUUGGUUAGGAUUUGACUAAGGUUUGAUUAAGGUUUGAUUAGGAUUUGAUUAAGAUUUGUUAGGAUUUGAUUAGGAUUUAUUUAGUAUUUGGUUAGGAUUUGAUU